UUGAUUUCUGUAUGGUCUCCUUCUUGUGUCAACUGAAACAUUGACCUUUUGCACAGCUGAAGAUUCUCUCCAUGUGCCUGUGAAACUCAAAUCAUGUUGAUUAAAUAAAACACAUGAUCAUCUCAGCAAGACAGUACAUAAUGAAGCACAGCACCAACCAGCUACGUUCAGUUUCUUCACUUGUAUGAGAUUUCCUACUGCAUAGAAUAAUGGAAUCACCAAGACUGUAAAACACCUGCAAGGUAAUUGAGUUCUACUGUUAAUCCAGCAUCACUGUGUCCAUCACUAAAAUAUAUUCCCAAAUGCCACCUUCACACGCCUUUUGAACACAUACAGGGAUGGUAAUUUCAACAUUUCCCUGGGCAUCCUGUUUCAAUUCCUGACCAGGUUCCAUGGUAGGAAACAGAAAACCAGAGCUUUUUCAGCUCUGUACAACCACCUGGAAGAAGGUUGUGAGGUGGAUAACAGGAGGUAGGAUAAAAGGAAAUGGCUUCAGGUUGCACCAGAGGGAGGUUUAAAUUGCAUAUAAGAAAAAAUUCCUUCACUGAAGGAAUUGUCAAGGAACAAUGGAACUGACUGUCGUGCCAGUGGUGAAGUCACCUCCCUGGAGGUAACUAAUAUAUGUAGAUGUGCUGCCUGGGGACAUGGUUUGUAGAGUUUUGUUGGUUAUUGUUGGUUAUUGUUUGUAGGUUAUUGUUGGACUUGAUGACU